CUUGCUCUUUUCCAGUCAAAUUUUGUAGUAGACUUAUUAAGAAAGCAUUAUAAAAAUAUAGCUUAUGAUAUAGUUCCUAUGAGUACAACUGGUGACAAAAUAUUGAAUGUAGCCCUCUCCAAAAUUGGAGAGAAAAGUUUGUUUACUAAAGAAUUAGAGAUUGCUUUGGAAAAACGAGAAGUAGAUGUUGUUGUGCAUUCCCUCAAAGAUCUUCCUACUACUUUACCACCAGGAAUGGUAAUUGGAGCAAUAUGUCAGAGAGAAAAUCCAUUCGAUGUAGUUGUGUUUAGUCCUGAUUGCAAAUGUUCUCACUUAAAAGACUUGCCUAAAGGAAGCAUAGUUGGAACCAGUUCUUUGAGAAGAAUUGCUCAGUUAGGAAGAGUAUUCCCACAACUGACUUUUGAAAGCAUUCGUGGAAAUCUGAAUACUAGACUCAGAAAACUUGAUGAAGACAAAAAUUACUCUGCUUUAAUUAUAGCUGCUGCAGGCCUUAUUAGAUUAGAUUUGGAGCACAGAAUAGGAAUGAUUCUUAAACCUGAAGAAUGCAUGUAUGCUGUGGGUCAAGGGGCACUGGCAAUUGAAUGUCGAGAAUCUGAUGUGCAAACAAUUGAGCUUUUAUCGCAAAUAAGUGAUAAAAAUACUACCUUGCGUUGCAUAGCUGAAAGAUCCUUUAUGAAGUCUUUAGAAGGGGGCUGCAGUGUACCAAUUGCAGUCAACUCAUCCAUUGAUAAAAAUGAAAAAGUAAAUCUCUUAUAUACCUUUUUUUUUUAAAGGAACAAAGAAAAAUUAUUUUAAAUGUGUUUUCAAAUAGUGGAGCUGACGUUGUGUGGCGGAGUUUUUAGUCUUGAUGGUUCCAAAAGCAUCAUUGAAGAGCUUAGUGUUGAUCUUAAACCAACAAAACCAUUUCAGUUUCAAGUAAAAAAGCAUUAUGCUGCCAUUGUAGCACCUCAUCUAUCACACAAUAUUUUAAGUAAGGCUGAAUCUUUAGGAAAGGAUCUUGCUGAUUUAUUCCUG
rnacentral:misc_RNA from 1 species